rnacentral:rRNA from 1 species
CCGUCGUGAGGUGAAUGAAGGCCCUUAGGGUUGUAAAGCUCUUUUGUGUCGGGAAAGAUAAUGACGGUACCGCAAGAAUAAGCCCGGCUAACUUCGUGC